UACGGGGGGGGCAAGCGUUGUUCGGAAUUACUGGGCGUAAAGGGCGCGUAGGCGGCCCUCCUAGUCGCGUGUGAAAGCCCCGGGCUCAACCUGGGAAUUGCGCGCGAAACGGGGGGCUUGAGUUCGGGAGAGGAGCGUGGAAUUCCCAGUGUAGAGGUGAAAGUUCGUAGAUAUUGGGAAGAACACCGGUGGCGAAGGCGGCGCUCGUGGACCGAGACUGACG
rnacentral:rRNA from 1 species